CUACAGGGUGUAUAAAAAAAAGGAGACCUUUAGAAAUCAACCAUAUUGUUAAAAUUUGAAUGCCUUUUCAAUUGCACAUAUGUGUAUACUGUACAGGGUGUCCCAAAAAAACCCGAAAACUAUUGAAAUCACGUAUUGUUAAAUUUGAAUGCCCUACCAAACAGCUGGACGUAGUGAUGCGUAAAAUAUUGACAAGGCGCAUGUAUUAGAAUUUAGUUAGGAAUAUCUCCUGGCAAAGUGCGCGAUUUUCUGCUCCUGGGAAUUAAAAACAGCUUCUUAAACAGUUUCUUUAUGCAUAAAAUUUACUUAUGUCAAUCAUUUAUGCACUCGUGGGAACCAACAGAGCGCUAAGGCAUUCAAAUUCUAACAAUUAAAUUGUUAUUGGUGAUUUCAAUAGUUUUCGGGUUUUUUGGGACACCCUGUACAGGGUGUCUCAAAAAAACCCAAAAUCAUUGAAAUUGACGUAUUGUUCGAUAUUCAAUGCCCCAGCACUAAGUUAAUCCCACGAGUGCAUAAAAGAUUGACAUAACUGCUAUAAUGAAUGGUAAUACUCAGCGUAAACUUGUUAUGUCAGGCAUAAAGUACUCAACC